CAACUCAUGGACAGAAUGCUCAGAUGAACGGCAUUGAAAAAUCACAAAUCUGAGAAAUCGAGGGCAAAGCCAUGGACAUAGGAAUUGCUGUGUGGGCCAGAAUCCAAGGACCAAGGCAGAUUAACCUGGCCUCC